rnacentral:rRNA from 1 species
AUUGAACGCUGGCGGCAGGCUUAACACAUGCAAGUCGAGCGGAGAUGAGGUGCUUGCACCUUAUCUUAGCGGCGGACGGGUGAGUAAUGCUUAGGAAUCUGCCUAUUAGUGGGGGACAACAUUCCGAAAGGAAUGCUAAUACCGCAUACGUCCUUCGGGAGAAAGCAGGGGAUCUUCGGACCUUGCGCUAAUAGAUGGGCCUAAGUCGGAUUAGCUAGUUGGUGGGGUAAAGGCCUACCAAGGCGACGAUCUGUAGCGGGUCUGAGAGGAUGAUCCGCCACACUGGGACUGAGACACGGCCCAGACUCCUACGGGAGGCUGCAGUGGGGAAUAUUGGACAAUGGGGGGAACCCUGAUCCAGCCAUGCCGCGUGUGUGAAGAAGGCCUUAUGGUUGUAAAGCACUUUAAGCGAGGAGGAGGCUACUGAGACUAAUACUCUUGGAUAGUGGACGUUACUCGCAGAAUAAGCACCGGCUAACUCUGUGCCAGCAGCCGCGGUAA